rnacentral:rRNA from 1 species
UACAGAGGUCUCAAGCGUUGUUCGGAUUCAUUGGGCGUAAAGGGCGCGUAGGCGGCGUGACAAGUCACUUGUGAAAUCUCUGGGCUUAACCCAGAACGGCCAAGUGAAACUGUUGUGCUAGAGUGCAGAAGGGGCAAUCGGAAUUCUCGGUGUAGCGGUGAAAUGCGUAGAUAUCGAGAGGAACACCUGCGGCGAAGGCGGGUAGCUGGGCCGACACUGACGCUGAGGCGCGAAAGCCAGGGGAGCGAACGGG